rnacentral:rRNA from 1 species
GGUCAAGUAAUAAGGGCAUACGGUGGAUGCCUUGGCAUCAAGGGCCGAAGAAGGGCGUGGCAAGGCUGCGAAAAGCCUCGGUGAGCUGUCGAGCAAGCCUAACCGGGGAUUCCCGAAUGGGGCAACCCGGCCGGAUAAAAUCCGGUCACCCCAGACUGAACACAUAGGUCUGGAGGAGGUAAGCGGGGGAAGUGAAACAUCUCAGUACCCCGAGGAAAGGAAAUUAUUCCCUUAGUAGUGGCGAACGAACGGGGAAAAGCCCAAACCCGGUAAGCCUAACGGCGUCAGGGCUUAUGUUUGCCGGGUGUUGUAAGGCAGGUAGGACCGAACCUGAAAUAGGUCAAGGAGUUAUAAACCCAACCCUAGUCAAAGGUCUCUGGAAGGGGCCACCAUAGAGGGUGAUAGUCCCGUAGACGAAAGGGGUAGGCUUCUUAUCUGUUCUUGAGUACCACGGGACACGAGGAAUCCUGUGGGAAGCUACCGUGACCACAUGGUAAGGCUAAAUACCCUUGAUGACCGAU